GGCUUUAUAGUCAUAAAAAUGAUAUUAGACUGCAAUUCUAAAGGAGUAGUAAUACUACUAAGGUUU
rnacentral:tRNA from 1 species